GGGCCCGUAGCUCAGCUGGUGAGAGCACCUGGCUUAUAUCCGGGCGGUCGGGGGUUCGAAUCCCCUCGGGCCCA
rnacentral:tRNA from 1 species